rnacentral:lncRNA from 1 species
GUUAUGUUCUAACCAUGAAAAAAAAAGGAUUUAACCUACAGCAUUAAUUUUUUAAAGUUUUUAGCCUCAGCUCACGCAUGUUGGAAAUGUCAGGGCUGGACUAAAAAUAUCCAAGACUGUUUUGUUGAAAACAAUGUGACUGGGAUUUGCUCAGUAAGUAUUUGAAUCAAUUGAAUUGAACAGAGAAGCAAAAUAAGCCUCUUUAGUUAAAUAUUUAAACACAGGGUUUGCUUAAAACCUAUACAAAC